UACGUAGGGGGCAAGCGUUUGUCCGGAAUCAUUGGGCGUAAAGAGCGUGUAGGCGGUCCGAUAAGUCCGCUCUGAAAGCCCGGGGCUCAACCCCGGGAGGCGGGCGGAUACUGUCGGGCUAGAGUCCGGAAGAGGCAAGUGGAAUUCCUGGUGUAGCGGUGAAAUGCGCAGAUAUCAGGAGGAACACCGAUGGCGAAGGCAGCUUGCUGGGACGGUACUGACGCUGAGGAGCGAAAAGCGUGGGGGAGCGAACAGG
rnacentral:rRNA from 1 species